CUACGGGUCGCUGCAGUGGGGAAUAUUGGACAAUGGGGGAAACCCUGAUCCAGCAAUGCCGCGUGUGUGAAGAAGGCCUGCGGGUUGUAAAGCACUUUCGGUUGGGAGGACUGCUUCUAGCACUAAUAUUGUUGGAAGUUGACGUUACCUUCAGAAGAAGCACCGGCUAACUCCGUGCCAGCAGCCGCGGUAAUACGGCGGGUGCAAGCGUGAAUCGGAAUUACUGGGCGUAAAGCGCGCGUAGGCGGCUAGAUCAGUCGGGUGUGAAAGCCCCGGGCUUAACCUGGGAACUGCAUCCGAUACUGUCUAGCUUGAGUACAGGAGAGGGGAGGGGAAUUCCACAUGUAGCGGUGAGAUGCGUAGAUAUGUGGAGGAACACCAAUGGCGAAGGCAGCUCUCUGGCCUGAUACUGACGCUGAGGUGCGAAAGCGUGGGGAGCAAACAGGAUUAGAUACCCGGGUAGUC
rnacentral:rRNA from 1 species